AUUGAACGCUGGCGGCAGGCCUAACACAUGCAAGUCGAACGGUAACAGGAAGAAGCUUGCUUCUUUGCUGACGAGUGGCGGACGGGUGAGUAAUGUCUGGGAAACUGCCUGAUGGAGGGGGAUAACUACUGGAAACGGUAGCUAAUACCGCAUAACGUCGCAAGACCAAAGAGGGGGACCUUCGGGCCUCUUGCCAUCGGAUGUGCCCAGAUGGGAUUAGCUAGUAGGUGGGGUAACGGCUCACCUAGGCGACGAUCCCUAGCUGGUCUGAGAGGAUGACCAGCCACACUGGAACUGAGACACGGUCCAGACUCCUACGGGAGGCAGCAGUGGGGAAUAUUGCACAAUGGGCGCAAGCCUGAUGCAGCCAUGCCGCGUGUAUGAAGAAGGCCUUCGGGUUGUAAAGUACUUUCAGCGGGGAGGAAGGGAGUAAAGUUAAUACCUUUACUCAUUGACGUUACCCGCAGAAGAAGCACCGGCUAACUCCGUGCCAGCAGCCGCGGUAAUACGGAGGGUGCAAGCGUUAAUCGGAAUUACUGGGCGUAAAGCGCACGCAGGCGGUUUGUUAAGUCAGAUGUGAAAUCCCCGGGCUCAACCUGGGAACUGCAUCUGAUACUGGCAAGCUUGAGUCUCGUAGAGGGGGGUAGAAUUCCAGGU
rnacentral:rRNA from 1 species